rnacentral:lncRNA from 10 species
UUUAACUAGUUAUUUUUAUAAAAUUCAAAUGCCAUAGAAUGUGCUGUCUGCUUACAUAGACAAAGCUCUUGAUGCAUUUUGAGAUGCCAGUUGUUUGAUGGGUGAAUUGUAAUGAAGCUUCCUUUAAGAUUAUCUGCAGAAGCAGACAAGUGAUCAUUGAAUUUAGUUUGCCAUCCUAUGGCCUAGGCUCCUGUUGUCAUGAAAACCUGAAAUUGAUUGCCAAACACUUGCACAGUAAUUUUGAGAUUCUUAUAAUUUAAAGCUCAAUCAUUUCUUGACUGAAGGAUACUUAUUGAGGAAGCUUCCAUCAUCAACCUCCGUUUAAAAAAUUUCUUACUGUGUGGAUUUUAAUCAGGGCAAUAAAAGGAUCAUCCACAAGCUCCACAUCACUCAGCCAUAUUAAAUUAUGAUGUAAUCUAGUAAAAAAAUCAAUAAGUGAGACCCAGUAAGGAACCUGAGACUGUUCAAGACUAGAAUGCAGGUAGGCACCAUAUGGCCAGAAAUGAAGUGACUACGUAUUAUCUUCAACCAGGGACAUUGGAUUUACUCAGUUUCUUUGGGCUGGGCAAAAAUGACCUUGUAAUGCAUUGAGUUAUAGGCUAGCAGACAUUAGGCACCACACUAUCCCUUCAAGGUACGGUCUUUUUAACAAGUCCUAGGAAGGGCUGUUUGAGUUAAUUCAGAGCCCGCAGAAGGGCUCACAACAACCUCCUUGUUUUGUCCUAACGUGAGCUGAUCCUUCUUGCAUCAGGUGGCUCCUCUGACUGUCCUGCCCUUUGGGUACUGGGCAAUUAAUCCACAAACGCAAAAUCCUGAACCCUGGGCUAAGAAAAUACGAACUGAUUUGGUAAACAAAUGAUAUGUAAAAUCUAUACGCACAGAGUGGCAAGUGACAAAGGAAAUUGCAAAUGCCCCUAAAUGCUCUUUCCCAUCGAUUGGCAGAGAGAAUCUAACACAUACACAGAGGAGAUGGAGCAUAAAAUUGGGCGGACUGACUCAGAGCACUAAAGGGAGAGAAAUGCGCAAUUACUGUGGGAUUCGCCCAGAGGAGCAGCCUCAGGAGUUGAAGGGGAUCCUGUCCCUCCCAGAGGAAAGCUCACGAUUGGAUUGGAACUUCUAGCGACUGCCUGAGGCUCCUCUGCAACAUCAGGCAACCAAGGCCUGCGCUCUCCUUUUCCUGAGGAGACUCCCUGGAACCUUCAAGAACCCCCCGACAGCCACCAGGAUACCCGGUCUGAAUGGUUUCCUACCAAGAAAGACCCCGAAGACCUGCAGUUCUGUCCAGAAACGAGUUUUUAGGGUCACUUGAAUUUGAGCUGCUGCGAGGGCGGUGCUUUAGGGAGCAGAGUUCAAAGAGGAAUUCCUCAGGACCCUAGGCCAGGUCCGCGUUAAAGGGCGCCUUACAAACCUCCUCUCCCCACACUCCCCCGCAGCCCCUUCCCCAACGUUUAAGGCACCGGAUCUUGAGAAGCAAAUCUAGUGCCCAGCUUCAAAUCCCCGCCUUGGAAAAGUACAAAGAGAAAACUGAUUUUUCAAAUCCCAAAGCCCUUUCCUUUUAAGCAACUUGGAAAAACUCAGCUAUAAACGCUUUCUCCUCUUAUGCUAAAAUUGAAAACUUAUAGAUUUUAGAUGGAAUGAAGAGAAGAUAUAUUCCUUUUCCCUUUAAAUAGCCACAUUUCAAAUUGUGCCAGGCAGCAAUUUCUGCGAAAAAGGAGUGGCGGUUGGGAUUGUUUGGGAGAUGGAGUUUUAUUUGUUCCCAUUUAUUUUGUUUUAUUUUUGUUUUAUUUUUUUCUUUGAGUUUCUUUGUUAUUUUGAGAUUCAUCUAAGAGACUCAGAAUUCCACUCUGAAUAAAGCACUUUUUGUUGUUUCAAAAUUUCAAACUGACAUAAGUGUUGGAUCAUCAGUUUUCCCUUUGUCUGCCCUAGUUGUAAAUAAUGGCUUUGAGAUUAGCUAAUUAAGGGGCAUUAAUCACUGAUAGAAAGGGAAUAAAUCAAAGCCUUGUUCUAAAUUUCAAACUUGCCUGUAUAGAUGUGCAUAGCUACUCUAUCUGGAGCAGAUAGGUGCUGUUUGAAUUACUGUUCUUCAGAGUAAACCAAAUCCACUUCGCUUUUAAAAAAUGAAUAUUGUAUUUAUACAGCCUGG